AUUGAACGCUGGCGGCAUGCCUUACACAUGCAAGUCGAACGGUAACGCGCCUUCGGGUGCCGACGAGUGGCGAACGGGUGAGUAAUACAUCGGAACGUGCCCGAUCGUGGGGGAUAACGAGGCGAAAGCUUUGCUAAUACCGCAUACGAUCUACGGAUGAAAGCAGGGGAACGCAAGGCCUUGCGCGGACGGAGCGGCCGGUGGCAGAUUAGGUAGUUGGUGGGAUAAAAGCUUACCAAGCCGACGAUCUGUAGCUGGUCUGAGAGGAUGAUCAGCCACACUGGAACUGAGACACGGCCCAGACUCCUACGGGAGGCAGCAGUGGGGAAUUUUGGACAAUGGGCGCAAGCCUGAUCCAGCCAUGCCGCGUGCAGGAUGAAGGCCUUCGGGUUGUAAACUGCUUUUGUACGGAACGAAAAGCCUUCUUUUAAUACAGGAGGGUCAUGACGGUACCGUAAGAAUAAGCACCGGCUAACUACGUG
rnacentral:rRNA from 1 species